rnacentral:rRNA from 1 species
GAAAACAUUGGCAGCAGUAAAGAAUUUUAUGCAAUAUACGAAAGUAAGACAUAGGCAGAACCUUUUAACCUGUCAAAUUAAGUGCCAGCAGACGCGGUGAAACUUAAGGGUUUGUUUUUUAGAAAAAGCAGAAAGCGUGUAAAGGUAAAACAUUUAAAAUAAAUAGAAUUUUUUUAGUAAUGGUGCAAUAUUAAAAGAAAGAAAAGAAUUUUUUAUGUGAAGACAAUUUAUUUUUUUUCUUUAACACGAAGGUUCUGGGAACGAACAGGAUUAGAGACCCUGGUAGUCGAUACAGUAAAAGAAAGUCGCUUGAGUAGUACGGUCGCAAGAUUAAAAUUCAAAAAACUUGGCUGUUCAUUGUUAUUUAGAGGAGCGUGUUGCUUAAUUCGAUAAUCCGCGAGUUACCUUACCAAAACUAGCUUUUUCAGGUGUUGCAUGGCCGUCGUCAAUUUAUGUUUGAUACAAUAAAUUAAACCCUAGAAAGGUUGAAGUCCGGUGAAAUUGCCCUUAUGUUUUGGGGUUAAAUGCGCUACAUUUUUUUUUUAAUAAAAAAAAGAGUUCGGAUUGUCUUUAAAAGAGGAUGAUUAAGUUGAAUUUAAUAGUAAUUGAAAAGUAGAGCGUUUCAAUGAAUUUGCCGCAAUGUUAGUACAAAUCGCCCGUCGCCUCUACUGAGGUAAACAAAGUAGAGUAAGUC